rfam:Brachypodium distachyon strain Bd21 chromosome 4, whole genome shotgun sequence.
GAAGCAGGUGAUGACAGCAAGACAGGGACAUCAGAACCAUUACAUGGGAAUGAUAGACCACGUCUAUAAUGGGAAUCUCUCUGAUGUUUU